rnacentral:rRNA from 1 species
AUUGAACGCUGGCGGCAUGCCUUACACAUGCAAGUCGAACGGCAGCGGACCUUCGGGUGCCGGCGAGUGGCGAACGGGUGAGUAAUAUAUCGGAACGUACCUUUCAGUGGGGGGAUAACGUAGCGAAAGUUACGCUAAUACCGCAUAUUCUGUGAGCAGGAAAGCAGGGGAUCGCAAGACCUUGCGCUGAUUGAGCGGCCGAUAUCAGAUUAGCUAGUUGGUGAGGUAAAGGCUCACCAAGGCGACGAUCUGUAGCGGGUCUGAGAGGAUGAUCCGCCACACUGGAACUGAGACACGGUCCAGACUCCUACGGGAGGCAGCAGUGGGGAAUUUUGGACAAUGGGCGGCAAGCCUGAUCCAGCCAUGCCGCGUGAGUGAAGAACGG